UACGGAGGGUGCGAGCGUUGUCCGGAAUCAUUGGGCGUAAAGGGCGCGUAGGUGGCGUGGUAAGUCUGUGGUGAAAGCGCGGGGCUCAACCCCGCGUCGGCCGUGGAUACUGCUAUGCUAGAGCACUGUAGAGGCAGGCGGAAUUCCGGGUGUAGCGGUGGAAUGCGUAGAUAUCGGGAGGAACACCGGUGGCGAAGGCGGUUCUCUGGGCAUUACCUGACGCUGAGGAGCGAAAGUGUGGGGAGCGAACAGG
rnacentral:rRNA from 1 species